rnacentral:tRNA from 1 species
GGAUUGUAGCUCAGUGGUAGAGUGCUUGCCUAGCAUGUGUGAGGCACUGGGUUCAAUCCUCAGCACCU